rnacentral:lncRNA from 1 species
CUACGAAAGGCAUGAAAGCGGGGUCAAAGGAGGCAGGGCUGGGGAGGGCUGGCUGUGUUUCCCAGGCCUCAGGGUGGGCUUGCCUCAACCAGGCACCUUCGCAGCCAGGGCUGAAGCACCUGUAAUCCCGCCUUCCUCAGGACAAGUGAAGGACGCAUCUAGGGAUUCAUUCUUUCAUUUCACAGAUAUUUAUUGCACAUGGUGCCGGAGAAUGGCUAUGAGCAAGACAGAGGUGGUCUCUGUUCUCAAGGCAGCUACAGAGGGACAGCCACUCCCCCAGCCCCCAACUAUGAGCUUCCCAGAACUGGCCUGAAGGUGCAGCUGCAAUGAUACGGGCUCACAUCCUGGCAUCCUCAUUUGCUAGCGUGAAAAUCGCAUUUCUCCAAACCUCGGUUUUCUCAUCUGAAAAACAGGCACAGCACCUAGUUUGCAGGACUGGGAAAGUUACAGAGGGUUAAUGGCAAUGCGGUUGGCCUUGGGCACUCCUUGUUCUGACCUCUGGAGUUCGGCUGCCCUGUGGUCUGGCCCUGGCUCUGUGGAGAGGCUUUCCCAGGCCGAGGGGCUCACCAGGCCUUCCCUAGUGAGGAGCUCUUUCUGCCAGAGCUGAGCUCAUGGGCAGGGCGGGGCGCAGAGGCCACAUAUCAGCCAGCUGUCCUCCCUUUCCUGGGAGCUGGUCCAGAGACGAGGGGCAGGGCGUCUGGUUUUCAUUGUGCGGCCGUCUCUAAUUCCUCUGGCAUCUGAGCUACUUUUCAGAAGGAGGGAGAUGCACUUAACUGGUUGUGACCC